GUUUCACUUUCCCAUUCAGUUUCCCUAAUUUCUGUUCCAAAAAAACCGUUCACAAGCCAUAAUUCUAUGCUAUUGAAAACCUCCGGGCGACAACGACGAACCAGUGCAGCCUCCUGCCUCCUUCAACAUUUUCGACGUCGAUUCUUUCACCAUAUGCAUGUAACAAACCCGCAUUUGAAGGUAACGUCCCAUCCACUUCUUACCGUACUUGAAGCCACUUUUUGCACAUUCCAGCUUGGGCCUGUCUAAGGCAUGGAUAAUUUCAUACUCAUAGCCGAAAAUUUUUUGCGUAAGGCCGUCUAGCGUUGUGGAGCAAAAGAUCUCAGUAGUACAAGUGCGUCUCUGCACGCACCCAUUUAGACGAUAUUUCAUCGACAUGGAUCCGCACCUCAAUCUGGUUUUACUAUUUCCAUUCUCAUUUGUCUGCAUUUUCGAUAUCCAACUUCUAAUUUUUUAUACCUUCUUGUCCCAAUUUGAUGAUGUUUCACUAGUGACUUCGUUAAGAGUUGUUGUUGUUACCCACGACUCGGCCUCCAAAAAAUACGAGUGAUGGAACCCUGCAGAACAGAGAACAUUCAUUGCUGCUUGCGAGCCCGCCAUCGUCAAAUGAUAUCGACAUGGGAGGGUUUCAUAAAGCACGGUUGGGACGGUGUUAUUGUGCUCUUCAACUUCAUAUCGAGACACAAUUGGAGCAAAUAAGAACUUCGUAACCACUGAGACUCAAUGCGUCUAGAUCACAAACGCCUCGCCGAGCUGAUGGCAUGCAGCGGGGUCGAGUAGAACCCUUCAACUAGGCUAAUUGUUGCUGUCGAUGAAUGGUGGACCAGAAAAUUGAAGACAAUAGAUUUGUUAUCCGACGACCGUAUUUUGUUACAAUGUAAUUCCAUUACUUUCAAUUGUGUUGUCCAAUUUUUUGUACAAAUUUCACGUUUUCGAGUGCUCUGCCAUGAUACACUCACACAUGCUAUAUGUUUUUGGUAUUAGUCAUAAUGUUUGUUAUCUAUAGGGGGCUGUGCAUGUUAAAGGCAUCAACUUUCUGUAAAUUGGCAUUUUGUAAUACAUUAAUAACUUAAGAUAAUCAUCUUGCCACCCAUUUUCGACGCUGCCAUGUACUUUAUUACUUAUAUGGUUCAAUAUGUGGUCGCCCUUUAUAGGUUCUAUGAACUUGGUAUGGCUCCCUUGCAACCGACACAUACUUUUACGACAUUUAUUUAUCGAUAUUUCACAAGUUGAAUGCAUUCGGUUUUGAGUUCUUUAUGAUUCUGGUCAAUUGUAGAAUUUUGCCUCUGUGCGUCAUAGUUUACUGUUUCAAUUUUUUUUGCUCCAUGUGCACUUGUUGUAACUGUUCGCUCGUUUUCGUAGGAAAACAAGGACUUCAAGUACAAAGAUGUCAGUGAGAUUUACAUUCGAUAUCGUCAACUUUUUGGUGACAGUUACGACGAAGACAAGUACGCAGUCACUACUACAAAGCUUUGUAGAAUAGGCUUCGAUUUGUUUGCAGAUUCUACACUCGAAGAGCACAUGGAUGCAAUCCUUGUUGAUGGAAAAAGCAAUGAUGAGGGUAACUCCAGUGUCAACGUUUUUAAUGCCAGAAGCAACGAAAAAGGAAAGUCAUCUAUACAUAAGCGAAAAGGAGAAGAAGAAAAAUGUUUUCGUGCAUAAGCUAUCCUUCUCCAUCGACCAAGCAAAUAGUGCCGCUAUAGAAGUCGCGGCAAAGAUCGACACCAAUAUUGCUCCGAACGACAAUGCUGGAGUUGCGUGUGUCGAGAAGUUGCUUUUUGCUAGUCGGCUGGAGUGUCAAACACCAUUGUACUUUUACGUCUGUACUCUACUGGAGCAAAAGCGUUAUCGGGAUAUGCUCAGUGUAAUGAAAGAUGUGAACGAAAAAUUUAAAUGGAUCGAAUGGUAGUUUAAUGAGCGUAACAAAUCAUUCCAUUAUUUUUUUUUAUGACUUUCCUACCCAUGUGCGUAGUUAAUUUUUAACUUUCGAACACUUUUUUUUUUAUCAUCU
rnacentral:lncRNA from 1 species